rnacentral:tRNA from 1 species
GGCGGCUGCUCGUGAACGGCGACGGUCGCCUGUGGCUCCUGCCCGCGGACGGCUCGGCCGAGCCGGAGGCGAUCCCGUCGCCGGGGCUGCCG